UACGUAGGGUGCAAGCGUUAAUCGGAAUUACUGGGCGUAAAGCGUGCGCAGGCGGUUCGGAAAGAAAGGUGUGAAAUCCCAGGGCUUAACCUUGGAACUGCACUUUUAACUACCGGGCUAGAGUGUGUCAGAGGGAGGUGGAAUUCCGCGUGUAGCAGUGAAAUGCGUAGAGAUGCGGAGGAACACCGAUGGCGAAGGCAGCCUCCUGGGAUAACACUGACGCUCAUGCACGAAAGCGUGGGGAGCAAACAGG
rnacentral:rRNA from 1 species